AGAGUUUGAUCCUGGCUCAGAUUGAACGCUGGCGGCAUGCCUUACACAUGCAAGUCGAACGGCAGCACGGGAGCUUGCUCCUGGUGGCGAGUGGCGAACGGGUGAGUAAUAUAUCGGAACGUACCCUAGAGUGGGGGAUAACGCAGCGAAAGUUGCGCUAAUACCGCAUACGAUCUACGGAUGAAAGUGGGGGAUCGCAAGACCUCAUGCUCAUGGAGCGGCCGAUAUCUGAUUAGCUAGUUGGUGGGGUAAAGGCCUACCAAGGCAUCGAUCAGUAGCUGGUCUGAGAGGACGACCAGCCACACUGGAACUGAGACACGGUCCAGACUCCUACGGGAGGCAGCAGUGGGGAAUUUUGGACAAUGGGGGCAACCCUGAUCCAGCAAUGCCGCGUGAGUGAAGAAGGCCUUCGGG
rnacentral:rRNA from 1 species